rnacentral:rRNA from 1 species
ACAAACGCUGGCGGCGUGCCAACACAUGCAAGUCGAACGGAGUAGGCCUUUCGGGGUCUAUCGAGUGGCGGACGGGUGAGGUAAGACGUGGGGCGGACCUGCCCGCUUGGUGGAGGGGGAAUACCCCGCGGAACACGCGGGAUAAGGACCCGCAUACGCUGGGUCUGGGUAGAUCCGGAUCAGGAAAACGCUUCGGCGUGCCAAGUGAGGGGCCUGCGGCCGAUUAGCUAGUUGGGGGGGUAGGUAACGGCCUCCCAAGGCGACGAUCGGUAGCUGGUCCUGAGAGGACGAUCAGCCACACUGGGAUUGAGAACGGCCCAGACUCCUACGGGGGGCAGCAAGUGAGGGAUCUUCGGCAAUGGGGGAAACCCUGACCGAGCGACGCCGCGUGCGGGACGAAGGCCUUCGGGUCGUAAACCGCUUUUUCUUGGGGACGAGAAUGGGAACGGUACCCGAGGAAGAAGCCUCGGCUAACUACGUGCCAGCAGCCGCGGUUAAAUCGUAGGAGGCGAGCGUUGUCCGGAGUUACUGGGUCCGUAAAGGGUGCGUAGGCGGCUGCGCGCGUGGAGGUGAAAUCUCUCGGCUUACCCGGGAGGGGGCUUUCCAGACGGCGUGGCUUGAGGGACGGAGAGGGGGGCGUGGAAUUCCGGGUGGAGCGGGUGAAAUGCGUAGAGAUCCGGAGGAACACCGACGGCGUAGGCAGCGCCAUGGCCGUUUUCCUGACGCUGAAGCACGAAAGCUGGGGGAGCAAACAGGAUUAGAUACCCUGGUAGUCCCAGCCCCUAAACGAUGUCCACCGGGUGCCGGGGGUAUCGACCCCCUCGGUGCCGAAGCUAACGUGAUGAGUGGACCGCCUGGGGAGUACGGCCGCAAGGUUGAAACUCAAAUGGAAUUUGACCGGGGGCCCGCCACAAGCAGCGGAGCGUGUGGUUUAAUUCGAUAAUAACCGAAGAACCUUACCCAGACUUGACAUCGAUCGCAAAGUCCAAGAAAUGGGCUCCUCUCCACAAGGAGACGUGAAGACACUUGUUGCAUGGCUGUCGUCAGCUCGUGCCGUGAGGUGUACGGUUAAGUCCGCCAACGAGCGCAACCCUCGACCUGUGUACCAGCAUGAAAGAUGGGGAACUCACAGGUGACCGCCGGUGUAAAUCGGAGGAAGGUGGGGAUGACGUCAAGUCAGCAUGGCAGUUACGUCUGGGGCUUCACACAUGCUACAAUGGGCGAAAAAACAGAGGGGGCAGCAACACCGCGAGGUAGAGCCAAUCCCAAAAAUACGCCCCAGUUCAGAUUGCAGUCUGCAACUCGACUGCAUGAAGGCGGAAUCGCUAGUAAACGCAGGUCAGCUAUACUGCGUUGAAUACGUUCCCGGGUCUUGUACACACCGCCCGUCAAGUCACCUGAAUUGUCUUCACCCGAAGUCCGUGGCCUAACCGUAAGGGAGGAGCGGCCGAAGGUGAGGGGGGGGUAAGGGGGA